rnacentral:rRNA from 1 species
CCUACGGGAGGCAGCAGUGGGGAAUCUUGCGCAAUGGGGGAAACCCUGAUGCAGCAACGCCGCGUGAGUGAAGAAGUAUCUCGGUACGUAAAGCUCUAUCAGCAGGGAAGAAAAUGGCGGUACCUGACUAAGAAGCCCCGGCGAACUACGUGCCAGCAGCCGCGGUAAUCCGUAGGGGGCAAGCGUUGUCCGGAUUUACGGGGUGUAAGGGGGGCGUAGACGGCAGCACAAGUCUGGAGUGAAAUCCCGGGGCUUAACCCCGGAACUUCUUUGGAAACUGUGCGGCUGGAGUGCAGGAGGGGCAAGUGGAAUUCCUAGUGUAGCGGUGAAAUGCGUAGAUAUUAGGAGGAACACCAGUGGCGAAGGCGACUUACUGGACUGUAACUGACGUUGAGGCUCGAAAGCGUGGGGAGCAAACAGGAUUAGAUACCCCAGUAGUC